rnacentral:lncRNA from 1 species
CCUAUAAGAAAUGGAAAAGAGAACACAGAGUAAGCUUCAAUGCUUAGUAAGUUUUAAGCAAUGCAAACAAUUAAUUUACUUAUAGAUCGAUUAUUCAAAUUUUCAAAAAAUCAUUCCUAGAUAAUUGCCAUUUUGGCCAAGUAUCCAUGAACAUAAUGCAUAUUUAGCAAAUUCAUCCCACUUGAAUCUGAACUCAAUUAAAACCAAAUAUUGAAA